rnacentral:lncRNA from 1 species
GGAAGAGAUUACAAGUGUUGUGUGUAAAUGCCAAUACAAUAAUAUUAUGAAUGUAGUAUAAAAAUAUAUACUGGCUUAAAUGAACAUUCCACUGCCCAAAUACAAAAUAAACCAUAUUCACUGUUUAGUAUGCAUGCAUUUAAUUAUGCGGUUUUUCAUUGGGGUAAAUCUGAAAACAGCUUGCAAAAACUGCAGGUCUAUUAUCUGCAGCCUUUGCAAGUGCUCGCGUUUUAACCCCGCCCAGACUUUGUGUCUGUCCAAUCACAGAUUUCUCAAUGCAGCGUAACGAGAAGUCUUUGCAAACCAGGUGUUCAGAGCAAUUGGUGCCUCUUAAGUUUAACUCCACUGAGCUAAAUAAACCAGGAAGUAACCGGACCUGCUGUCCAUUUAAAAGCCAAAGGGGGUGUUACCAGGUUAAUUUAUAAAAGGGUCAAUUUCUGUUGAAACCUGCACUUUUUGCAAAAUGAAAAAAGAGCACACUCUUCAUACAGAGAGCUUUUCAGCAAGUUAAAGUCCUUUAUGUGUGUCCCUUUACUGAUAAGGAGAAAAGUACUCCUAUCAAACACACAGGUUUGAAUAUUGUUUAUCUCUGUCCCUAGCUUGAUAUCAUUUCCUUUAACUCUUGUUUUCCUUUUCCAGAUAUCCAAUUCCAAGGCAGAUUUACACCUGGAAUAGUUACUUUUACUGCUUUAACCUCUGGAUUACGCUAUCUUUGCUUAUUUCACUGUCCUCAAAAAUGUUUUAGACUUGAUAACAGAACUCAAGAAAACUUGUCAUUACAACUUUCUCUCUGCUAAAAAAAUGUAUUUUAAGAAACUACAAUACUUCAUUAUUUUGUUAAUGUCUAUAACAUAUUAACACAUGUAAUAACUCAUUUGUAAUACGUUUUUUUCCGGUGUAAAAUAUUUGCCAAUUGUACAAAAAGACUCCAUGUUUUCGUAUGAAUCCCAAUGUGUACUGUAUUCCGUGAAAGGACAAGAUGUUUGUGAGAGAUUAUGGAUGUAGUAAACAUUUUGUGGGUAUUUAUAGUGAUACCAGUCAUGAUUCACAUCCUCAUUCCUUAACGUUAAAUUGACAAAACCAGUUGGAGUACAUUUGUAAUUCUUAUGUUGUAACCAAUUUAAACAAGGAGUAUAUUUAGAAUGAUAAACUCUUAAAGAGAAAACAUUACACUGCAUUUAAAUACGCUGUAUCAAAUGGUGUUCAAACCUCCUAAUUCCCAUAUGAGGACAACUUUAGAAAGACGUUGUUGGACACCAUAGAUGACAGACAACUCUGCAAUAUGCCUUUUUGAUUCCAUCAAAGCAAAAUAAUAGAUAGAUAUGUUAAUCGUUUCAUUUUUAAACCUCAAGGGUAUAUAAUUAAGAAACUAUCAAUUCUUGACACAUCUUAACAUUCUUUGCAUCAUAAUGAAAACUGUUCUGUGCUAUAUUUUUACUUUGUGUAUGUAUACAUGAGCUUAUUGGUUAAAUAUACAUCUCUCUGUGUAUAUGCUUAUUUAUGGACCCCAUUGCAAACGAAUCCGUUGUUCAAUUUUGUCACUGCAUUGUUGUCCAGUCUUUGUGUUUAAUCUAAUAUGGUCUGUCUCUGUCUAUCAGAGUUUCCAGAUGCAGAUAAUACUCAUAUUCUCUGCUAAAUGUUGAGUGGUUUUUUUUUUUUCUUUUGGAAUGUGAGUUCUGAAACUGUGCCGUAUUAAUGUGAAAAAGAAUGCAUAUGGCGACAGUCACCUCGUGGCCACCAGUCUGAUCAGGCACCACAACUUGGCAGCCACCUUCCCCAGCCAUUUGUUAUCCCAUUCAGAGCUCAAUGUUUUUAAAAUUUUUAAAAAUCUUUUGUAAAACCAACCCUACAACCGCGUUGAGUUUUAUUGGUGCAAAGCAUCAGUUUAUAUAGAACUCUUUUGUCUAAAACUUUUGCCACUUUUACUUUCUGAUGUCCAGUUUUUAUUUGCUGGUUGCUAUUAUGUCGUGUUCUCCUACCGAGCAGCUGAAGCUGAUUUCUCAAAAACCGUUCAUACUUGGCACAAUCUCUUUAUACUCGUAGAGGCAAGAAUAGAACUAGGAGGGUUACAUUCUUGUUUGUGAUACGUGUCGCAAUACUUUUUGUAUUUUUAAGCUUGAGGGUAAAUUCCAUUAUCUUGCACACUGUGUGUAGAGCUAGGUUUAUGAAACCUGGCCACGUUUGUGAAAGAUACACUAGUGCAAUCUCUGUCUGCUCACGCCACCCAUAAACUGAUGUUUUGUUUUCUCCUUUGGAAUACCUUUCAAUUUUAUGUUUUUUUUUAAGAAAAAGAGCAUGUUACCAUCUUGAUUUAGUUAUUUUGUGUUCUGUAAUGCAAUGCAUAUAUUCCCCUGUGUGAGUGAUAAAUUUGCAGUUAGGUAGGUAUAGACUUAAUCUACAUAUUGUGCUCCUGAAGUCACUGGUAAAUUAAGAUAUACCAAAAAAUGGACACCGCUGCUGUGCGUGCAGUCAUCCACCCCAAAUAAUGCAAGCAGCGCCCCUCGGUUACUAAGACGCAUGAACAUGCAUCCACUUCAGUUGGGAACUUACAAGUUUAUCAAUUGCAUAGCAGUAAAGGAUGUUUGAAUUACUUUUUAUUUACUCAGCCAUGUUUUUGUUUUGUUUUUUUAAAGAAUUGCACUUUAAAGGGACACUAUAGUCACCAAACAACUACAGCUUAUUGUAGUUGUUCUGGUGUCUAAAUCCUGUCCCUGCAGGCUUUUUGUUGUAAACAAUGUAUUUUCAGAGAAAAAACAUUUGAUUGCCAUUACUGAAGAUGAAAGCGAUUUUCUCUAUCUCUGAAUAUAACUAAAACAGCCGGCUAUGUCUUAUUGUAAAUGCACAGGGAGGCAAGCUCAAAUGUGUUUUUUUAAAGUUAUAAAACUGCAUUUUGGUGCUUGAAAAUGUUGUUAUGGCUUUGUAAUUUGUCCCGGAUUUAAAAUAAGGUUUUGACAUUGGCUGAGUCAUCCAGCUCCCACUAAUUAUAAUUGUUUGUUGUGAAGGAGUUUCUCCCAUACAUUUUCUCUGAAUCUCCCAGUGAUUCAGCUCAGCCAGCUCUCCAUACGUAUCAUUAAUGUAUCUUCAUGAGUUCAUUCUGCAUGUUUUAUGUUUAUGGAAGCCAAGCUCAUAGAAUGAAGAGGUUGUAAUCCCUUUUUGCUAAAAUGCCCAUGAUUGUGUCUAGGUUUUUUUCUUUGUUCAUGUGCCAUAUAAAUCUGUAAGUAGUCUACCCAGUCCUUACUCUUACUGCCAGAUAGUGGUGUUCUCCCACACAUUCUUUGUACCAGGUUUCCACCCACCCUUUGUUAUUUAUUACUGGGUACCAAUGUACCCACAUUCUUUGUUCUUGCUGCUGAGUACCACUGUCUACCCUUUCCCAGUUUCUGUUGCUAGCGGCUUGUGCCUACUCCACCAUUUGUUCCUGCUGUUGAGUACCAGUGUCUACCCAUCCUUUGUUCAUGCUGCCAGGGACAACCCAUCCUUUGUUCCUGCUGCUGAGAACCAUUCUCUACCCAUCCUUUUAUCCUGCUACUGAGAACCAUUCUCUACCCAUCCUUUUGUUCCUGCUGCUGAGAACCAUUCUCUUCCCAUCCUUUGUUCCUGCUGCUGAGAACCAUUUUCUGCCCAUCCUUUGUUCCUGCUGCUGAGAACCAUUUUCUGCCCAUCCUUUGUUCCUGCUGCUGAGAACCAUUCUCUGCCCAUCCUUUGUUCCUGCUGCUGAGAACCAUUCUCUAUCCAUCCUUUGUUCCUGCUACUGAGAACCAUUCUCUACCCAUCAUUUGUUCCUGCUGCUGAGAAACAUUCUCUACCCAUCCUUUGUUCCUGCUACUGAGAACCAUUCUCUGCCCAUCGUUUGUUCAUGAUGCGAGGUGUCAGUGUCCACCCACCAUAGUUUCACCUGCUGAGUACCAGACAGUAGAACGAAAGGUGAAUGGACAUUGUUACUGGAUAGCAGGGACGAUAGCUUGGAUAGACACUGGUAUCAAGCAAGACAAACGGUGUGUGGAAGGACACUUGCCUAUGGAACAAUUAAUAGGUGAACACUUGUACCCUACUUUAGCAGCAAGAACACAUGGACACAAGUACCAAUUUUCACCCUUUCUGUGGUAUUGUUUUCUGAAGCAAACAUGACUACGAAACACGGUUCCAUUGCUAUCACAUAAAUAUACUAGGCUUUUAACUAUAUAGUGCUCUUUUUUGACCAUAUGAACAAAGGAUGAUGUGAUAACUUUCUGGACACUCCAGGUCUUUUGAUAUUCUUUGGGACUCCUGUUUAAAAUAAAUAAAUACAUUAUUUCAUUUUUUAUUUUAUUUUUUUGUGUGCAAAACCUGUAUAAAAAUAACAGUACACAAUCAUGGCAUAGGAAAAUGGUGUCAUUCCUGGUAGCCAUAGCAUCUUUUUUUUUUUUUUUGGACUCUAUUUGUGUGGUGAAAACAUUUAUGGUCGUACUGUGUAAAUGUCCAGGUGUGUAUAUGUCACUACCUUACUCUUUGGAAACUCAUUUGAUUGAUAUUAGCCUAUUGAAAGGUUGAAUUAUCCCGGUCUGAAAUCAAGACUUUCAUUCUGGAUUUUUAUAUGGGGAUGAGCUUUCAAUCGAAGCACUGGGUAAACAGUUAAACAAUAUUCCUUUGUUUCCAUGUCAAGUAAAGUGUUUUUUUAUUUUGACACAGUAAAUUUCUAAGGCUAUUGUUCUGGUUAACUCAUAAAAGCUGCAUGCAGUCUCUUAAGUGUCCUUUUAAAAAAAAAAAAAAACCUAUCUUUUUUUUUUUUUUUUCUUCUCGAUAAUCACUUAAUUUGACCACUUUACUGUUGAAAUGUAGAAAAGCUUUUUAAACAUAUAGAUUGAGUCAGCCCUUUGUACACCAAAGAACUUAUCCAUUCUGUUGGUAUGGUCCAUAAGAUGAGUUUUUCACUAGACGGGUAUUCAUAUAACCUUUUUAUCUUGCAGGUGUUUAGGAUUUCAGUUUCUGCAAACAUAGGCCACAAUUACUGUGGUUCUAAAUGCUUGAUGUCAAUAUAAAUCUUAAAGAUGCCUUGAGCUGAGGAUUUGCUUGUAAGUUUUUUUUCAAAAAUCUGACCAUUCUGCAGUUAUCGAUAAAUCAAGUAGAAAACCACUAGUCAAACUGAAUCGGUGUUUAUAGACUAUUCUUCAUAUGUUGGAGAGCUUCAAAUGAUCCUUCACGUUCCAUUACAUAUAUCAGAGGAAGAUUAUACAGGAAAGUUAAUAUAUGGUAGUGAUAUUGUUUUUCAGAUAGUUCUGGCCAGUGGAAUCGGUGGAAUGAUCCUUCCUGCUGUCGUAGUUCCACGUAUAGAACCUGCUUUUAUUUUAUUUUUUUACAAUUCUUUAUUUUGUUUUUUCAGCAAUAAAAGCAGGUACAGCAUUAUUGAGUCAUAGAGAAGCAAUACAACUUUCGAUCGGUGUAUGUGCACCGUAUUAAGGGGGUGUAUCAGGAUCUUAUAGCGGAUCCAAGUACACUAACAGGUGGGGUACAGUACAAUCAUACAAUCUCACAUUUUGGAAUGUGUAUGGGUUCGGUUGUGCGUUUUUUUUUAUGCUGAGUUGUAGCCUAGAUGUUAUUGUCGGUUUGAGUUCGGGUGGUUGCGAGCUUCCUAAUUCCCGAGUAGAAUGGGGUGGUUUGUUUAGGUUUCUACCUUGUAGCUUCUAAUGAGCUUGUCUGUUGUCAGUAGUUUUUGCGUGUUCGUGGUGUCCCCUUAUGUGCAGAUUUGUAUUUUUGUCCAUUCAACUGGUAUUCUGUAUUUUUGUUUAUGGUUCGAUUAUGAGUCGAUUUUGGUGACUGGCCGUGUUUGUAUUGGGGUUGGUUUGGUAGCACUCUAUCUAUGUCCGAGGGCUUUUUGGUUGGUUAUAAGAUGUGCGCUUGGAGGCUAGGUGUUAAUGUGGGUGGGGUAUUGUCUUUGGGGGUCCAGUUGGGAGUUUUUCUUGCUUUGAUGAACGUCACAGAGCAAAUUAUAUUUUGUGUGAUUGGGUCAGAAUGAUAGUGCCUCUCUAUGUUCUUUUCAUUCACAAGACCACCAGUGAUUCAUGAUAGAAGAAAUUAUAGCACAGAACAGGAUUAAUCUACCAAACAAUAUCACACCAUUAGAGAAAAUAAAUGUUUAUUAAAUUAACAUUCAUUUAAGGAAAGACUUCUGAUGUUGGCUAUUUGAUAUUUACCUUGGGGUGAAAGACAUUUGUACACAAAUCCUCAUUUUACACAUAUAAGCAUGUGAUGAUGAUUUUUCCAUCCAUAGAUGUGAGCGUUUUUUAGCUAUCGAAAAGGAAUAUGGUAUAUGGCAGGGUUGACUAAGGACUAAUGGUUAAAUCCUUUGUGCCUUUCUAGAUUUGUCUAUUCCAUGUGCCAUUGAAGACUCCUCAAGCCCUUUGUUAUUGCUUGGCGCAUGGAAUAGGAGUUGAUCUGUUUUCAGCAUAUCAUACUUUUGAGUUUUUGCCAAACAUUGCAAAGUUACAAAGCUAAUUUAAAAUAGGUAAGGAAUUGUAGUGUGGGUGAAAACAUUAUUUAUAAUGCUAUUUGCAUAGAGAUUCAUAUUCAGCUUUGUUCGGUUCUAGGUCAAGGUUUUCGUCAGUAUGGUGAAGGACGUAGGUACGUCUGGACUCUUGAACAUUGUCUUAUGAUCACCUUUCUUGGUUGCACGUCAAGUAUGUAGAUCUUUUACUGUGCUGCACGUUAAUAUCAAAAUUUGACCGUGCAUCAAAACACUCUUUGUGUUCAGAUACUUGGCUAAGAAAUAGGUUGUGUUCUUUCUGAGAAUGCUGAUGAUUCACUAUGAUGCUUACAUCAUCAAGAAACAUGAUGCUUUUGUGAGUAAUAGUAUAAAUUGUACACCGAAGGUGGAAUCUGGGAAGUGAAAUCACACCAGUGUUGCGAAGUAAAUUUAAUGAGGAUGAGAUGAACAAUCCAUUCAUUCAAAUGGUUUGUUAUUUUCCUCAAGUUCAGAGAUACAUAUAUCAUAAAACAGUUGAACUGUGAAGACAAUCUGGCUGUUGUUUUCAUAUCAUAUCAUCAUGUGAAUAUUUGCCCUUAGACAUUUUUUUAAAUUUUAUUUUUUAUUAAUACUUUUUUUGGUCUGUAGAUAUAAACAAUUUAAGCUUACGGACAGCUAGUUGAGAAGUGAUCCCAGAUCUGGUAAACUUGAUUGGGAGAAGAAUAUCAUAGACUUUCUUAAAUUCUUAGAAUGUUAUGUUCAGUGGAAUUCUUGUGUUUUGAUUACACACUAAGUGGACUUGGGUGUUUUUACAGGCGAAGUACUCUUCCUUCCACGUUUUAGUUAAAUCCAACUUCCACGAUGCUUGUUCGGUAACACGGAUUUGCUUUUACUUUAGUGACCCAUGUAGUCUUUGUUUUAGAGCUUUGAUGACUACCUUUGGGAAUUUCAACUGUGGUAGAUCAUUUUCCAUAAUGUUUGCACCACAUAGUUCACAGCUAAUGGUAGACUAGGUUUCUAGCCAUUUACAUUUAAUCAGACAUAAGUGUUUACAUUUACAUUUAAUCAGAGAUAAGUGUUUUUCCUUUCUUAGAGAUAGCUAGCAUCUUUUUUACAUAUCUGCCUCUAAGUAAAAAAAAAUUCUCAUAAAUAUAUUUUAUAAACUUCUUCAGAUCAUCAUCAUGGGUAAAUUUCCAAAUAACUUCAUUCACUGCUGACACACCUUACACCGAAGAAAUUUAUAUCUAUUGUGAGAAUCUGGUUUACAAAGCUAAUGCCGAACGUCAAGUAAAAAGUAAUAUAUGCAGCACUUUUUUUAUUUUGUGUUCCAUUUUCAUUUAAAAUUACCGUUUUGAAAAGCAAUGUUUUGUCAUGUGCGGACUGGACCAGGUGGUAACAAGCAUAUGCAUUUAUUAACCUGAUUUGUACUGGUUUGGUUUUCUAUAUAAGCAGUAUUGUAAUUGGUCUGAUGUUUGUGUAUGUUAAUCGUUACUCUGUUUAUUGGAGUUUGACUUAAUACUUGAACUAUUUCUAAAGAGGUUCAGACCAAAGUUUGUUUGUCUGGUUUCAAGAGUGUUUAAUAAAAUGUAAAAAAAAAAAAGUUUGACGUUUUAUUUCACUAAUAUUUUGUCUGAACAUUUUGAAAUCUGUAUGCAC